GUGUACUGAACUAGAGUUGGCGUCGCAGCUGGUUCGCCCCGUCCGCCAGACGGGAGCGUCGUAAGAGGGAACCCGGUGGGAAUCCGGGACUGCCCCGCAGCGGUGAGUGGGAACGACCGCCGUCAUACGCACUGGACCCGACGUACCGGGUCCGGGAAGCGACGGCCAGUAGGAGUGCUCCGCCAGGAGAACGUGCCCGCGAGUCCGAAGACCUGCCAACUGCCCGUGUGCGGAC
rnacentral:ncRNA from 24 species